AUAAAAUCAAACCUGGGAAACGCA
rnacentral:siRNA from 1 species